UACGAGGGGGGGCGAGCGUUUGUUCGGAAUUAUUGGGCGUAAAGGGUGCGUAGGCGGUUUGGUAAGUCUUAUGUGAAAUCUACAGGCUCAACUUGUAGUCUGCAUGAGAAACUGCCGGGCUUGAGUAUGGGAGAGGUGAGUGGAAUUCCUGGUGUAGCGGUGAAAUGCGUAGAGAUCGGAAAGAACACCAACGGCGAAAGCACUCUGCUGGGCCGACACUGACACUGAGAGACGAAAGCUAGGGGAGCAAAUGGG
rnacentral:rRNA from 1 species